rnacentral:rRNA from 1 species
UUCGUGGUGACCUGCGGAGGAUCAUUA